CCCGACGCCAGGCUUGAGGUGCCUGCGCAGUGGUUGCCGUUUGGGAGGAGGCACGGAGCAGGGGGGGCGCCUGCGCUGUGAGUCGGCGGCGGAUGUGUAGAGAAACAAGAGGGGCCCUGAGAGGGCGGGGAGAGCCCGCUGAACCAGAUGGUUGGGCGCCCCAUGCGGUUGGGAGGAAGGAGCAGGGAAAGCACUCCGGAAGCCUCUUUGGAGCCCAGGCGGCGAUAGAGAUUGAGAAGGUGUUCAUGCUAUGGGAGAACAAGUUCUGCCAGUAGACCAAGAAGGCCACCUGAGGAUCUUUCCCUGUAUCCACCCUUCCUUUGCAAGUGAUAGAGAUGCCGGGAAAAGGGCUGCAACCUGGGCCUAUAUUGUUGGAGAAAGCUGGCAAGCUGGGGUCUAGAAACCAGAUCUCAGCUGCAUUUCCAGCAAGUCAGGCCUCAGGAGCACUGUCCAGGAGCAUGUGAGAGAGGAGGAGCCCAGCCCACUGAUUCUGCUGUCACAGCCCCUCUCAUUUCUGCACCAAGACUUGCACUUGAGGCAGCACUGCCCUGGGGGCUCCAGAUGAAGCAGAUGAUAGGAAGAUUGUUCCAUGCCGAGGAGGCCUAAGAUGAUCUAACUGGCGCUCCGCCAAAGGAGAUGGAUCCAGAAAAAUGCUGCUGGGAUUUAUGUUAAACAGUGUCCUGCCUAUGUUUUUUCCAAGGAGUUUUAUGGCUAAGAAAUAGACAAUAUACCCCAGCAAGACUGUGGAACUAUAAGGAGAGUGGGAGCCCGCCAUCUACUGUUAAAAAUCAAAAAAGAAGAUAUCAACUGGCCGAACCUCUCUAAUGCCCUGCUUCAUUCUUCUGCGUGGAGGUGAGGAAGUGGAGUGUAAGGACACGGGAGGAAGGGAAGCGCUGGGGCUUAGGAAUCUUAUUUUUAUUUUGUUUCAUUUUUUAAUUAUUUUUUAUUUUUUGCAAUUAUUAUUUUUUAAUAGUUAUUUCCCCAAUACAUUUUUUUUCUACUGUAUAGCAUGGUGACCCAGUUAC